rnacentral:lncRNA from 1 species
UUUUGGCGGGGGGCGUGGCUUGGGCGACGUUGUGGUCAAUGGGAGGGGGCGGGGCUUGAGCGGGUUAUUUUAAUAAAACGGGGCGUGGCUUUGUGGAGGGGGCGUGGCUUGUGCGCCGUUGUUGUCAAUGGGAGGGGGCGUGGCUUGGGAGCCGUCGCUUUCCUAUAGGCGGGCCGUGACGUCAUCGCCGCCGAUGACGUAAUCUCUUUCUUUUCUGAUGACGUCACCGCAGAAAAACCCAAAUUCCGGGGGUUUUCCCCCCAAAAAACCCCCCGGGAUGGACUCAGGGGGAUCCAAAGCGCUGCCGGACCCGGCGGACGCGAUGACGUCAGACGACUUCGACAUCGUCAUCGAGGCCAUGCUGGAGGCGCCCUACAAGAAGGAGGAGGCCCAGCCCGGCCCCUCCAAGGCCCAACCGGAGCCGCCCCCGGCCCAGCCGCCCCAGGAGGAGCCGAAAGAGGCCAAAAAGGAGAGCGGGAGCAGCAGCCGGAAGAAGCGGAGCCGGAGCCGCGAGCACAGACACAGGUGGGAAAAAUGGGAAUUUUGGGAAAAAAAUGGGAAUUCUGGGUGAAAAAAAUGGGGAUUUUGGGGUGAAAAAUGGGGAUUUUGGGGGAAAAAUGGGAAAUUUGGGAAAAAAUGGGAAUUCUGGGUGAAAAAAAUGGGGAUUUUGGGGGAAAAAUGGGAAUUUUGGGUGGAAAAAUUGGGAUUUUGGGGGGUAAAAUUGGGAUUUGGGGGAAAAAGGGAU